rnacentral:rRNA from 1 species
AGAGUUUGAUCCUGGCUCAGAUUGAACGCUGGCGGAAUGCUUUACACAUGCAAGUCGAGCGGCAGCGCGGGGGCAACCCUGGCGGCGAGCGGCGAACGGGUGAGUAAUGCAUCGGAACAUAUCCAAUUGUGGGGGAUAACCUGGCGAAAGCCAGGCUAAUACCGCAUGAGCUCGAGAGAGGAAAGCGGGGGACCGUAAGGCCUCGCGCGAUUGGGUUGGCCGAUGUCCGAUUAGCUAGUUGGUGGGGUAAAGGCUUACCAAGGCGAUGAUCGGUAGCUGGUCUGAGAGGAUGAUCAGCCACACUGGGACUGAGACACGGCCCAGACUCCUACGGGAGGCAGCAGUGGGGAAUUUUGGACAAUGGGGGCAACCCUGAUCCAGCCAUUCCGCGUGAGUGAGGAAGGCCUUCGGGUUGUAAAGCUCUUUUGUCCGGAGCGAAACGGUUAGCGUGAAUAUCACUGACUACUGACGGUACCGGAAGAAUAAGCACCGGCUAACUACGUGCCAGCAGCCGCGGUAAUACGUAGGGUGCGAGCGUUAAUCGGAACUACUGGGCGUAAAGCGUGCGCAGGCGGGUUUUUAAGCCAGACGUGAAAUCCCCGGGCUUAACCUGGGAAUGGCGUUUGGGACUGGAAGUCUGGAGUGCGGCAGAGGAGACUGGAAUUCCUGGUGUAGCGGUGAAAUGCGUAGAUAUCUGGAGGAACACCGGUGGCGAAGGCGGCAUCCUGGACUGUAACUGACACUGAGGAACGAAAGCCAGGGGAGCAAACGGGAUUAGAUACCCUGGUAGUCC